AUUGAACGCUGGCGGCAGGCCUAACACAUGCAAGUCGAGCGAGCGGCGGACGGGUGAGUAAUGUCUGGGAAACUGCCUGAUGGAGGGGGAUAACUACUGGAAACGUUAGCUAAUACCGCAUACCAUCAGAUGUGCCCAGAUGGGAUUAGCUGGUAGGUGGGGUAACGGCUCACCUAGGCGACGAUCCCUAGAUGGUCUGAGAGGAUGACCAGCCUCACUGGAACUGAGACACGGGCCAGACUCCGACGGUAGGCAGCAGUGUGGAAUAUUGCACACUGGGCGCAAGCCUGAUGCAGCCAUGCCGCGUGUGUGAAGAGGGCCUUCGGGUUGUAAAGCACUUUCAGCGGGGAGGCGUUACCCGCAGAAGAAGAACCGGCUAACUCCGUGCCAGCCGCCGCGGUAAUAC
rnacentral:rRNA from 1 species